AAUCCGUCGACUUUAUAAGUUGUGAGGGUUCARGUCCCUCUAUCCCCAA
rnacentral:tRNA from 1 species